GGCUAGUCUGAAGGUAGUGAGUUGUCUCCAUUGAUUGUUCACAGUUACAAAUGGAACUCCUUGAUCUACUCUUUCCCUCCUUCUCUUGACUAGUCUUAA
ensembl:misc_RNA Y_RNA Y RNA